CACACAUUCAGUUCAAUAAAUGCCAGAUUUUGCCAGAUUUAGAUUUCCUGUGUAAAUAUGUGGGAAUUAAUAAUGUGUGUGUCUUUAUUCUAAACAUCAGUCUACCCAGCUAACAAGCGACGCCACCGUGACGUUUUUGGACGUCCGAUUUUGGUCUGCCAGACUGUAAAGUUCUCUACAUAUUGACACAUUUUCAGGAGAAAAUGAGUACUGAGAAGGUUGAUCAGCGUUUUGCAGUUGUUCACUUUCUGAGGGAAAAUUCGGUUGAUGUAAUACCAUCGUCUUGGCUGGAAAAAGUAAAUGGGGUACUAUGAGUUCUUCUUUGGACAGGGGAAGUUCACAAGAGAAAGAGCAUGGAGCUGCACUGCCUGCUCCCCCCGAAUUUUGUUCAUCACCAGUUGUCAGACCUACUUCUAUCUCUUCAAUGCAUGAUGCCAACUUACAAGAUCCACUACCUGAGCCUGCUGAGGGGCAACGAUGUUCGAGACACAGUGAGGCUCAUCUUAAGGAAAAUAGGGACCAGUGCCUUGUGGGGAGAGUACAGUUUGAAGGGGAGGAAAGGGAAAAGAUCCUUUGAGGUGUUGGAGCUAUACAAUGUG